GGUGCCCGGUGCCAUGCAUGGCCCCACGACCAUGCAUGCAUGAGAGCGAUCGGUGAGCUCACCCGGCUGAGUCACGCCGAUGACGCCCCGGCGUCGCCUUGCGCGCGCGCAGGGACACUUCGCACGUCUAGCCGGCCGGGUCCCGCACGCGCUCGCCUCCUUGUUCCUCGCUACUUCCUCUUACUUUUCCCCCCACCUUCCCACCGCGCGUCGAGCACGCCGAUAAAAACCAAGGCACGCUAACCCUACCGACUCUACUCUGCACUCUGCAGUCUGCACUGCAGCACCACACCAGCAGCAGCUUCGCCUGUCCUCUCUGGCUGGCAUGGCGUCUUCCGGCGGCGGGCGCUCACCGGCGACGGCGGUCUUAGACGACCUGGUCGAUGUUCGUGACCGUGUGGCGAUGCUGCAGACCGUGCUGCAGGAGUCUUCGCCUGAGGCGACCUUGGAGGCGGGGGAGCUGGUGGACGGGAUGAUGGCCAAGCUGUCGAGCGCCUUGUCCGCCGUUCUCAGCACCGGUGAUGGCGGCGUGGCGUCGUCGUCAGGAACAGGCCGGGGACUGGGCGGGAGGAGGAAGAGAUCCGGCACGGCGUCAUCCGGGCCGCACCGCCGGAGCAGCUCCAGGAGAAGGAUGAAGAGCCCUCUAAUCAAGACUGUCACCGCUACGACGCUCACAGAUGGCAAGUCAUGGAGGAAGUACGGUCAGAAACAGAUAAACGACUCUACUAACCCGAGGUACACCUGUUGAUGUAUAAAUGCAUAGUCCACAUUUCCUCAUCAGUCUGAGCUUUUGGGUGAACUGGCUGGUGCAUACAGUUCUACAUGAUAUCGGAGUCAAGAGGUUUUGACCGCCUACUUUCGGUCCACGUUUAGGCCUGAGGGAGCCACACGCGAGGGAGAGUGUUGAUGUAUAAAUGCAUAGCCCACCUUUUCCCAUCAGAUUGAGCUUUUGGAUGAACUGACAGCAGUUAUAGAACACCAUUCCAAUAUGUCUGAGCUGUCCAAGUAUAAGUAAAGAGUGAUUACUGAAUCACUAAUAUUGAAGCUAGCUAGCCAAGCACACUUGCCAACUGGUUAAUUAACUAAUUGCACCUAGCUAGUUGAGCUUUCUAACUUUAUCCUUCAAGGGGAAGUUGAGCUUUUCUAUUGAUCAAAUAUGCAUGCACGCAUGCAUAUGGUGCUUAUCGCUCCCUUGUUUUUCGAAAAGGUAUCGCUCCCUAUAUAUAGCACCAGUUGUUGUAUUGAGGUAUUAUUAGCUAGCUACAGUAGACUUGUAGCUAGCUUACAUAUCUAGGAUUAUUACUGAUUUGCAUAUGGGCGUAUAUCCAGGAGCUACUACAGGUGCACGCAUUUGCCAGAUCAAGGCUGCAAGGCCAAGAGGCACGUCCACGUAUCCGAGUCCAACCCGUCGGAGUACACCAUCGACUACUAUGGCCAGCACACCUGCAAGGAUCCCUCCACAUUUCCAUCACUCAUCGUCCAAGGGGCCGCCGACGCUGCCCCGCUGCCGGACUGCGCAAACCUCAUCAGCUUCGCGCCCAUCAAUGGAGCCAACCGUGCUUUCACUACCAGCACGAGCACGAGCGCUUUUUCUCAUCAUCUCAUGAAAGAAGCGUCUGAUUAUCAUCCUAUGCUCUUCUCCCGCUUCUCCAACUACAGCUCCUCGCCGCCGGCUCAGGAGGGCGUGUCCAGCGGCUCACCGUCGCCGGCUUGCCACAGGAAGUACAUGCAGUACGCCGGCGGGCAGUUCAUCAACGUUACUGGCUUAAGGACAUCGCCGUUGACUGUGGGAUCAGCGCCGGCGGAGUACUGGCCGGUGGUGGAGGUCACCGGCGUCGACAUGGAUGUUGCCGCAGGCAUGGACACGUACAGCUUCCCUUCCUCGCCGAGCAGCCUCGGGUUCAUGUCAGGAUCGUUGGGGGGAUCAUUUGGCAACAACGUUUACGACGACGACCUGUUCAGCUUUGAUUCCUGACCAUGCCUAUGUACAUGCAUGCUAAUUGAGCCAUAACAAGGGCUUGCGCAAUUUGCACGGGCCGGGUAAUAGUAAUGAUAAUAGGGUGUACUGUCUAUGUAUGUGUAUAUUGGCCAAUAUUGGGCAUGUGUGGAACUGUGGAUAUGAACAAAAAGGUAGCUAGCUAGUAAUCUGUACUGUAUUGGCAUGUCAAGUGUAAAUAUAUACAUAUGUAAGUUUGCCUGCACGACCUUAAAUUAUGGGUUUGUAAAUGUUGAUUUAUGUAACAUUUGUUUUUUUGGAAAAUAGAAGCUUUCAUUACCUGACCUCUGC
rnacentral:rRNA from 1 species